rnacentral:rRNA from 1 species
GCUAGCUGCAGUCGAGCGGUAACGGAAUUAGCUUGCUAAUUUGCUGACGAGCGGCGGACGGGUGAGUAAUGCCUAGGGAACUGCCCAGUCGAGGGGGAUAACAGUUGGAAACGACUGCUAAUACCGCAUACGCCCUACGGGGGAAAAGAGGGGACCUUCGGGCCUUCUGCGAUUGGAUGUACCUAGGUGGGAUUAGCUAGUUGGUGAGGUAAUGGCUCACCAAGGCGACGAUCCCUAGCUGUUCUGAGAGGAUGAUCAGCCACACUGGGACUGAGACACGGCCCAGACUCCUACGGGAGGCAGCAGUGGGGAAUAUUGCACAAUGGGCGCAAGCCUGAUGCAGCCAUGCCGCGUGUGUGAAGAAGGCCUUCGGGUUGUAAAGCACUUUCAGCGAGGAGGAAAGCUUAAGCGUUAAUAGCGUUUAGGUGUGACGUUACUCGCAGAAGAAGGACCGGUUAACUUCGUGCCAGCAGCCGCGGUAAUACGAGGGGUCCAAGCGUUAAUCGGAAUUACUGGGCGUAAAGCGUACGCUCGCGGUUUGUUAAGCGAGAUGUGAAAGCCCCGGGCUCAACCUGGGAACUGCUUUUCAUACUGGCAGACUAUAGUCUUGUAGAGGGGGGUAGAAUUUUCAGGUGUAGUGUUGACAUGCGUAUAGAUUUCGAGGAAUAUCCGUGGCAAAUGCGGCCCCUUGGACAAAGACUGACACUCUUGUCUUAAAGUCUGGGGCAGUCAUCCUUGGAUUAUAUACCCUUGUAGUUCCCCGCCCGUAAUCGAUGGUCUUUCUCCGAAUUUUCCGGUCUUUUGCACCUGGGCGUUCUUCAAUGGAUGGGUUUCUGUAUUAUACCGCCCUGGGUCUAUUACCGU